rnacentral:sRNA from 2 species
AACAUAGCCCGUUAUGUGAGGCUACCUUGCAAAUAUACGCUGCUGCCGCUAAACAUCGAGAGAUGCCACGACGGUUAACAGAUUUUAUCGGAUUAAGGUUUAAUCUAAUGCAGCUGGGAUAUCCCAAAGUUGCAGGGUGCUAAAACUGUACGAGAGGGAUGCUAU